rnacentral:rRNA from 1 species
AUUGAACGCUGGCGGAAUGCUUUACACAUGCAAGUCGAACGGCAGCACGGGGGCAACCCUGGUGGCGAGUGGCGAACGGGUGAGUAAUACAUCGGAACGUGCCCGGUCGUGGGGGAUAACGUAGCGAAAGUUACGCUAAUACCGCAUACGAUCUGAGGAUGAAAGCGGGGGACCCUCGGGCCUCGCGCGAUCGGAGCGGCCGAUGUCAGAUUAGGUAGUUGGUGGGGUAAAGGCCUACCAAGCCGACGAUCUGUAGCUGGUCUGAGAGGACGACCAGCCACACUGGGACUGAGACACGGCCCAGACUCCUACGGGAGGCAGCAGUGGGGAAUUUUGGACAAUGGGCGCAAGCCUGAUCCAGCCAUUCCGCGUGCAGGACGAAGGCCUUCGGGUUGUAAACUGCUUUUGUAUGGAACGAAAAGGCUCUGGCUAAUACCUGGGGCUCAUGACGGUACCGUAAGAAUAAGCACCGGCUAACUACGUG